ensembl:lincRNA
AGCAAGCGACUCAGCCAAUGGGGUGUGGUGGCUGGGUCUCCCAACGGGCGGCGGAAGGAGGCGGUAGCGUUGGAGGGUUAAAAUGGCGGUGCCCGUCCUCCUGAGAGUGUUGGUGCCGCGAUGGGAGGGGGUGUCCCUGUACGCCCUGUGCUCCGCUGGAAUCCUGCUCUCCAUCUACGCCUACCAUGUGGAGCGGGAGAAGGAGCGGGCCGCCGAGCACCCGGCCCUCUGCGACCUUGGGCCCUGGGUGAAGUGCUUCGCCGCCCUUGCCUCCAGAGCUAGUAAGAAUUUGCAGACUUCCUGGGACAGUGACAUUUGCAGACAAACACGAAUUUGACCCUACUCUGGAAGAAGAU